rnacentral:ncRNA from 1 species
UUAAAUGCUGUGAUAAGAAAUAGUAGCAUAAAAUAAAAGCUGAAAGAGAAAAAUCUUCAUAGGCUGAAAAAGAUUUUAAGCAUAAUUUUAUGUGAAUGCAUCUUUGAGCACUGUCUCGAAAUAAAGUAGACGACAGCGGUUACGCCCGAUAGAAACGUUAAGGUAUGUUUGUGCCGAUAAAAACGAGUUAUUAUAUACUUAUAUUAUAUAUAAUAAUUAGAGUGGAACCGUGGAAUUUACUUCCGCCUCUAAG